AUAGAUCCACUCAUCUCUAUUCACACACUUCCAUCUUAGUUCUCACCAUCCACUCAUCUCUAUUCAUACAUUUCUUCCAUCUUAGUUCUCACCAUCCACACUACAUAUCCACUCUAAUAUUUAUAGUCCUUCAUUACGCCAGUACGAACUCAUCGGCAUACAUUUUUUUUUUUUUCGCUAAAACAAGCGCCCAUACAGUACGGAUACGAAUACACCCAGCAGAUCCGGGCAUACAUUUCUUUCCACCAGCGAAGCAGCCAUUAACAGAUCACGCAAGCGUUCGGAUUCUCCUCGGCGCUCUGCACAAAGUAGUGUGUGGUCAUAUGAGGAUUGUAAGCCUGGUAUGCCUUGACAAGCUCAGAGAUUUGCUCGUUCACAUCUUUCUUCUUCUCGGGCUCCUUCUUUGGCUCCUCCUUCUUUGGCUCCUCUUUCUUCUUCUCUUCUUUGGCAGGCCCUACCGAAAGGAUUUGGGUGUAACAUAAUUUCCUUAGCUUUCUUACAACAUCAACCGGGUCGACAGCUCCGAUCACCGUCAAUUUCUUAUCUUUCAUGUCCAUGGCAAUGGAAUCAAUCCCUG
rnacentral:lncRNA from 1 species